UGUGGCUCAGUGGUAGAGCACUUGCCUAGCAUGUGUGAGGCCCUGGGUUCGAUUCUCAGCA
rfam:Ictidomys tridecemlineatus contig038497, whole genome shotgun sequence.